GCACCACCUCUUCUUACAUACACUGUGUAAUUAUUUUGUAUAAAAAGGUUUCAAUAACCAAUUUUUAUGUAAUCGCGCCACUUUAACUUACUUAAAUUGCCUCAAAAUUAAAGACGUCAGAUAAUUUUACAAGCUUGUCUCACUAAAAUAUAAUAUCUAAUACUAAUAUAGAAAUAAAUGUACAAGCAGGAAUUAGCAUAACUAUUUUAAUGAACAAACAAGAUAAUCAAGUAUACAGAAAGAGUAAAAAAUAGUAGCACCAGUUAAAAGCAUGUAGAUAAAUCCAUAAAUUCUGGCAUGUUUAGGAUUAUUUCCCUUAUAUAAACAGUCAUACUGUGUUGUUUUUUACAGUACUGAAGGCGGAGAGGUGGUUGUAUACAUUUCUUAAACCGUGAUGCUGAUGCUUCCUCAUAAGGAACCCAUUUAAGGAUAUUUUCAAUGUACAGUCUUGCAGUGGCACCACAGAAGCUCAUAGAAGUCCUUCUAACAUGUAAAAAGACCUCAUUUGUCACAUUAUGAUAGUAUCAAAACAUUAUUUAAAUGUUAUACUCACAGAUAUUACGUUUAAAAUGUGAACUUUAAAAAGAUUUGGGUAGUUACACUUAAAAUUUUACUGCAAAAGCAAACAUAAUACAUCCCAUAUAAAAUAUCAAAUGAUAUAAUAAUGAGUGCUCCUUAUGAACAAAUCAAGUAUCAGUCCCUGAAAUCGCAUAAUGCAAUAAACCAGUGCUCAGAACCUCGUACACUAAACUACCGAAAAUAACGUCAAUGACUAUAAACCAUUAAAGUAAAAGAUGAGUAUAUUCUCCAGUUCCAUAGAAAUGCUAAUUCCUAAAAGGUCUAAUUGAAAUUCAUAGUAAAAACUGUUCUUUUCUUUAAUAAAGAGGCAUUUGAGAUGUCAAAGGCCCCCAAAUUGAAGUUUCGAGGUACAGUUUCUUUAAAAACACAGCAGCCAUUGGAUUCUCCUUGUGAAAGUUGGGCCACAUUCCAUGAUACUGUGAUUUCCUCAAAUCGGUCCUGAAAUUAUAACGUAACAGACUUGUCACAG